rnacentral:misc_RNA from 1 species
GAUGAAAACGCAGCGAAAUGCGAUAAGUAAUGUGAAUUGCAGAAUUCAGUGAAUCAUCGAAUCUUUGAACGCACAUUGCGCCCCUUGGUAUUCCGAGGGGCAUGCCUGUUCGAGCGUCAUUAUAACCCCUCAAGCUCAGCUUGGUGUGGGGCCUGCUGCACUGGCAGCCCUUAAAAUCAGUGGCGGCGCCAUCUGGCUCUAAGCGUAGUAAUUCUUCUCGCUAUGGAGUCCUGGUGGAUGCUUGCCAUCAACCCCCAAUUUUUCUAUGGUUGACCUCGGAUCAGGUAGGGAUACCCGCUGAACUUAAGCAUAUCAAUAAGCGGAGGA